GGGGGUUUAGCUCAGUUGGCAGAGCGAUCGCUUUGCAUGCGAUAGGUCAGGUGUUCGAAUCAUCUAUCCUCCA
rfam:Fistulifera solaris DNA, contig: scaffold00168, strain: JPCC DA0580.